UCUUAGGAUCGCUAGGGUUCCGGUCGGCGUAAUGCACGAGUCCGUGCGGCGUGUUCGAUGCCUGGUCCGAGAGCAAUCCGGUCUCGUCUCCCACCUUGCCUGCAAGGCGGCGAUGAGGCUCCACGGAGGGAUAAAAGCCCGGGAGGU
rnacentral:sRNA from 1 species